UACGUAGGGGGCUAGCGUUGUCCGGAAUCAUUGGGCGUAAAGAGCGUGUAGGCGGCCCGGUAAGUCCGCUGUGAAAGUCGGGGGCUCAACCCUCGAAUGCCGGUGGAUACUGUCGGGCUAGAGUGCGGAAGAGGCGAGUGGAAUUCCUGGUGUAGCGGUGAAAUGCGCAGAUAUCAGGAAGAACACCCGUGGCGAAGGCGGCUUUCUGGGACGGUACUGACGCUGGAGACGCGAAAGCGUGGGGAGCGAACAGG
rnacentral:rRNA from 1 species